GACGAACGCUGGCGGCAGGCUUAACACAUGCAAGUCGAGCGGAGCGGCGGACGGGUGAGUAAUGCCUAGGAAUCUGCCUGGUAGUGGGGGAUAACGUCCGGAAACGGGCGCUAAUACCGCAUACUAUCAGAUGAGCCUAGGUCGGAUUAGCUAGUUGGUGGGGUAAAGGCCUACCAAGGCGACGAUCCGUAACUGGUCUGAGAGGAUGAGCAGUCACACUGGAACUGAGACAAGGUCCAGACUGCUACGGGAGGCAGCAGGGGGGAAUAGUGGACAAUGGGCUAAGGCCUGAUCCAGCAAUGCCGCGUGUGGGAAGAAGGUCUGCGGAUUGUAAAGCACUUUAAGUUGGGAGGCGUUACCAACAGAAGAAGCACGGGCUAACUUGGUGCCAGCAGCCGCGGUAAUUC
rnacentral:rRNA from 1 species